AUAAAUACAUGGAAAUAGAAGUAGUAAAACAAUCUUGUUUUAUAGAGAGUUAACAUAAGGUGGAAGUUAAUAAACAAAUUGUUUGAAUUAGUCUAUGGAGUAGGCUUCAUGCAACACGGGAGUGAAGUUCGUUAACUGCGUUAAAGUUUUAAGAGCUGAAUUUUAUUCAGAACUAAGGUGGUACCGCGAUUAAUUCGUCCUUUUU
rnacentral:ncRNA from 1 species